AGGUUACUGCUAUCGGUGUUCGAUUAAGCCAUGCGAGUUAAAUGUUCUUCGUGAACAUAGCGAACUGCUCAGUAACACGUGGACAAUCUGCCCUUGGGUUCGGGAUAACUCCGGGAAACUGGAGAUAAUACCGAAUAAGCCAUUGAAGCUGGAAUGCUCUUUGGUUCAAAGUUCCGGCGCCCAAGGAUGAGUCUGCGGCCUAUCAGGUUGUAGUGGGUGUAACGUACCUACUAGCCGACGACGGGUACGGGUUGUGAGAGCAAGAGCCCGGAGAUGGAUUCUGAGACAUGAAUCCAGGCCCUACGGGGCGCAACAGGCGCGAAAACUUUACAAUGCGGGAAACCGCGAUAAGGGGACACCGAGUGCCAGCAUACUAUGUUGGCUGUCCACAUGUGUAAAUAGCAUGUGUUAGCAAGGGCCGGGCAAGACCGGUGCCAGCCGCCGCGGUAACACCGGCGGCCCGAGUGGUAAUCACUAUUAUUGGGUCUAAAGGGUCCGUAGCCGGUUUAAUCAGUCUUCCGGGAAAUCUGACAGCUCAACUGUUAGGCUUCCGGGGGAUACUGUUAGACUUGGGACCGGGAGAGGUAAGAGGUACUACAGGGGUAGGAGUGAAAUCUUGUAAUCCCUGUGGGACCACCAGUGGCGAAGGCGUCUUACCAGAACGGGUCCGACGGUGAGGGACGAAAGCUGGGGGAGCAAACCGGAUUAGAUACCCGGGUAGUCCCAGC
rnacentral:rRNA from 1 species